ACCAUUCUCUAAUUUAAACUCCACUACUCCUAUAAACUCAACUUGAACUUGAAUGCCAUUUCCAACCACCAAUACUCUCUUAUGGUCAUUUGGCUAUCGUUUGCUCUUGAAUCCUUGUAAGACAUUGGCAACAUGGACAGUAGCCCCAGAGUCAAACCACCAAGAAUUCGAAGGAGCAUCUAUCAAAUUGGAUUCAAAACAAACAAAAAUAAUUGGAUUACCUCCACUUUUCUUCUUCUCUAACCAAGCCUUAUGCUUAUGGCAAUCAGCUUUCUUAUGACCAUUUUUCUUACAAAACCAGCAACUAAUCUCCUUCUUGAUGGUAGGUUUGGGGCCAUUAUUCUUCGAGUUGUUGUUCUUGUUACCGCCUUUGUUGUUUUUGCGAUAGUUGUGGAUGGAGGAAGAUCCUUUUGAAUGUGGCUGAACAAUUAGAUUCACACUACCAAUAGAAUCCUUAAGAAUUCUCUUUUCUUCUUGGUCACAGAUGGAUAUGAGUUCAUUAGUAUCUCAUUUGUCUUUCUGAGAAUUAUAUGAUUUUUCAGUUGAUCAAAUUGUGAAGGCAGAGAAUUAAGAGCACGAUGGACAAGAAAUGACUUAGCAAUAGGGAUUUUGAGUUCAGUCAGCUUAGAAGUUAUGUCUACCAUUUUCAUUAUGUACUCUUUAACUCCACCCACGCUAUCAUACUUCAUCCCUGUUAAGCUAUCCAUAAGCUCUCGAGCAUCUGCCAUUUCAAAUGACUUGGUACUUUUCAGCGAUAUCAUCAAAAAAUUUCUUGGCCUUCUCUAUCUCAGGUAUAAUACCUAUGAGAUUGUGAGAAAUUGACCUUUUAAUUAUCAUUAAACACAAACAAUUUGCCCUUUUCCAUUUCUCAUACUAAGCUUUCUCAUCAAUGGAGCUCUGUUCAGUUGGCUUGGGGAACUCAUCCUUGUGCAAAACUAUAUCGAGAUCCAUCAAACC
rnacentral:lncRNA from 1 species